rnacentral:rRNA from 1 species
AUUGAACGCUGGCGGCAUGCCUUACACACGCAAGUCGAACGGCAGCACGGGAGCAAUCCUGGUGGCGAGUGGCGAACGGGUGAGUAAUAUAUCGGAACGUGCCCAGUAGUGGGGGAUAACUGCUCGAAAGAGCAGCUAAUACCGCAUACGACCUGAGGGUGAAAGGGGGGGAUCGCAAGACCUCUCGCUAUUGGAGCGGCCGAUAUCAGAUUAGCCAGUUGGUGGGGUAAAGGCCUACCAAGGCAACGAUCUGUAGUUGGUCUGAGAGGACGACCAGCCACACUGGGACUGAGACACGGCCCAGACUCCUACGGGAGGCAGCAGUGGGGAAUUUUGGACAAUGGGCGCAAGCCUGAUCCAGCAAUGCCGCGUGCAGGAAGAAGGCCUUCGGGUUGUAAACUGCUUUUGUCAGGGAAGAAAUCCUCUAGGUUAAUACCCUUGGGGGGAUGACGGUACCUGAAGAAUAAGCACCGGCUAACUACGUGCCAGCCGCCGCCGUAAGAC